rnacentral:rRNA from 1 species
GACGAACGCUGGCGGCGUGCCUAAUACAUGCAAGUUGAGCGCUAACGUUUAGUACUUUUACUAUUUGGAUGAGCUGCUGACGAAUGAGUAACGCAUGCGUAAUCAGCCUUUGAUAGGGGGAGAACAUUCAGAAACGAAUGCUAGUUCCGCAUGAAAACUUUCAAAACAUGUUUUAAGUAUGAAAGAUGCAAAUGCAUCAUUUAAAUAUGCUCCCGCGUUGUAUUAGCUAGUUGGUGAGGUAACGGCUCACCAAGGCGAUGAUAAAUAGCCGACCUGAUAGGGUGAUCGGCCACAUUGGGACUGAGACACGGCCCAAACUCCUACGGGAGGCAGCAGUGGGGAAUCUUCCGCAAUGGACGAAAGGCUGACGGAGCAACGCCGCGUGAGUGAAGAAGGUCUUCGGGUUGUAAAACUCUGUUGUUCGGGAAGAACGUUCGUGAGGGUAGAACGCUCAUGAAGUGACGGUACCGAAAGAGAAAGGGACGGCUAACUACGUG